UACGUAGGGUGCGAGCGUUAAUCGGAAUUACUGGGCGUAAAGCGUGCGCAGGCGGUUCGUUGUGUCGGCGGUGAAAUCCCCGGGCUUAACCUGGGAACUGCGGUUGUGACUGCAAGACUGGAGUCAGGCAGAGGGGGGUGGAAUUCCACGUGUAGCAGUGAAAUGCGUAGAGAUGUGGAGGAACACCGAUGGCGAAGGCAGCCCCCUGGGCCAUGACUGACGCUCAUGCACGAAAGCGUGGGGAGCAAACAGG
rnacentral:rRNA from 1 species